rnacentral:lncRNA from 1 species
GCUUUUUCAUUGCAAAGAUGAUAACGGUUAGAUUUCGGCUAAACUUGACUAGAACAGUCGGACGAAACAAGCUAGAGUUGGAAUCUGAUAAUGCCAAGCUGGUUUCGGCCUUUCAAGCGGUGAUGGGACCUAUUUUUUUUCGAAACGGAGGCAAAAGUUUUGCCUCGUCUAUUAAUUAAGCAAAAGUGAGUCGGCCGGUUAAUUAACAGGAAGCCAGGCUAAAGCCAUCACAACCAUUGAGCGGCACACACAAGAUACCCCACACAUGCCACUCCAAAGGAUGCCUCAUCGAGACAGCACACGCGCAUCAUCGUCAUCAUUCCUCCCCUAGAGGCGUCAUCGUCAACCCUAAACCCUGAGCAAACGAAUCUAAUUUGCUGUAGGCGAUCGUCGACUCAACCCACACUGUAGAGGCCGAGUGAAGUUCUAUGAAGAUCCGCGCCAAACUCAGUCACCUACGAUCAAACAACGCAGCUCCGACUCUGACGGAGAACAACGAAUGGCAAAACCAAGCACGACUGCCCCCACGGAAGAUCACCCAAUGGUCCACCUGCACCAUUCAUCAUAUACCACAGGGGCCCGCCGCCGCAGCUUCAACUUUACAACAACAAAACAAACCGAGGAAAUCCCGUGGACACGACGAAGAAGAGCCGACUACCACAACUAUUGUCGCGUCGCCGAUGUCGCUCCCAUGCCACAGAAAUCUGAACUCCAAAACCACCGCCAUCCACUGGUCCCACUCACCGGUGCCGAGCUCCAAAGACAAAGCCCCCAAGAGGGAAUACGACACCAAGGCGCCGCCAUCAUCCAAUCACGCAAGAUCAAGGGAUGUGAACACUGAAAUUCCUUUUCGGUACCCACACAUCCCUCUAAAAAAGUUUACAUAUUUCGAUGCAGAUAAAAGGUGAAGAUUAUAAGUUACCCCUUCAAUAAAAAUAAACAUAAUGUUUUGAUCUCUUAUUCGGUCCAUUGGGAGAACGAGGAUCAACUAGAAGGGAUUGUUGGUGCUAUAAUCCAUGAUCAUAACGGGAUGUUUAUAUCGGCAACCAAUGAGAAGAUGAGCUUCUGUUUCGACGCUUUCACCCCAAAGGCGACAACGGUUAGAUUUCGGCUAAACUUGGCUAGAAUAGUCGGAUGUAACAAGGUAGAGCUGGAAUUUAAUAACGCCGAGGUGGUUUCGGCCUUGCAAGAGGGAAGAUUGAGUUCAGUGACAUGUCCUAUCUUUGAUGAUAGCUACUACAUGACCCAGGCCUUUAAGCAUGUUUUGUUCACUCGUUGUAACAUGGAGAGCAAUCAAGUUGCCCAUGAGAUGGCGAAGUUAGGUGGAUUUUCUACCCCCGGUACCUGGAUGGAGUCACCUCUAGUUGAGGUGGUCUCGUUUAUUGUAUCUGAUACGGUGGUUCUCACAAAUAAUUAAAUAAAAAAUCGCUUGUCAAAAAAAAGAAUUAGAAUUAGUUGAUUGUGAAUGUCUGAGAGUACCCUUUGAAAUAACUUUAAGAUUCGAGUAAACUUUUAACUUGGUAUACCGAGGCAAAACAAGUGAAAUGCAAGAAGCUACCACAUUUGCGCCAUCACUAGAAGAGAAGAUGUGUUUAAGGGGUUUUGUAGAAACAAUCGUAAUCCCCUGAACUGACAGACCGGGCCCGCUUGCAGAUGUUGACGUGGCAAAAUAAUAAUAUCAAUUGCAUAUAUACGGAUCUAAGUUUCUAUUGCAGAAAGACUCCUCCUCAAAAGAAAAGAAAAAGAAAAAAAAAGGUGAUCGGGUCCCUCCCUCCAACUACAAUCCGUGCGCCUUCAUCUUCCCCGGCACGCCUCCACUACAUGCUCGGUCAUGGGGAAGGAGCUCCGCGGUAUUUUAAUCAAAGCAUCUCCAACAGGCGCCUCAAAAAAACUCCGCACACUAAAAAUUUAUUCUUUUGGGCGCCGAACAGCUCCAGCAGAUGCUGUAGCGCUAAAAGAUUUAGGGCGCGCGCUGAAAAAUGUUAUCGCGGGCAACAUAUUUUGGGCUCCGGAUUACGUGUGCUUCACAAUUUGCACCGUCUGCUUUUUGAGUGCGCGUCUUUGAACGUCUUCUAAAGCAAUGUUGGUCCGACGCAUUAAAAGUGCUACAGUGGCGGGCUAAAAGUUUUAUUGGGCAAUUUUUAUGCGGCCGGUGGAGAUGCUCUCAAGAAGGAGGGUGUGUACUCCCCUGAUGAUCUAAAAGAAGGAGGGUGUGCGUGAGGCACUGAAUGCUAGAGAAGCACACUUGUUUACAAUGACCACGCAUGCAUGCAUGUGGUUCCAUUAGAGCAACUCCAACGCACGGACCCAACCGGACAUGGGUUUUAUCCGUUUUUUGGCCAUACGGGUCAUCUGUCCGCCUAGCGGACAUGAGACGGACACGCAAUGCACCCAACGCAGGGACCCAAACGGACAACAGAACACAGAGGCAAGCGCACAGCAGCAGCAAAACCAAGCGAGCCAGACGACGGGCAGAAGUCGGUGCCCUACAUUGUAAUGAAUGCCUCGUCCUUUGUCGCAUGCGUCGUCUACUACAUUUCGUCCUUAGUUGUCUCUGCCAUUUGGGACGUUUUGUCCAUGUCCUCGCCAUUUGUAAGUUUGUUGGUGUGGCAGUGACGACAGCUCCCCUUUACAACUUGGUCAUACAGACUCCUCUUCGUCAUGUUGGUGCGGGCUCCGGUAUCAUCAUGAGGCGUGUGAACUUAUUUUAAAGAUUUUGAUCUUGGAUGUGUGGAUCUUCCGGCGAUUACUUCGACCUUUUUUUCUCUUGAAAGCAUUGGUUCCGCGGGCAUGUGUCCUUGAUGGCUUGCCGCGCGCAAUUUAUAAUGGCGAGCUGGCUCUGCCGAUGGGGAGGCAUCAGGGGUGGCGCGCCAUCAGCCAGCUCUCGAGGAAGAAGACAAUCAGACCCUAGGGACAUUGGUGUAUUUUUUGGUUUAUUUUAGAGGGGUGUGAUGCCUCUUUCCCAAAAGAAAGUAAAGAAAAACAAGAAUACAUACCUGGGUCCCUCUCCGCUGAUUUUGUUACAAAGAAAUAUAUAUUUUUCACAUUGUACGUCUUUUUAACAAAGAAAACCUGGUGUAAUGCAAAAGGAAUAACAUAAACUUUCAAAAAACACAGUAAGUACUCCAUAUUAACCGUGUUAAUUCGAAGCCUUUAACGGAAAACAAAACAAUGUAGGCUAGUUUUUAAAAUACAUACUUUAAAUAUAUUUUUGUGUAAUCUUCGGCUUUUAUUUCUUUUUUGCAUAAGAAAACGAUGUCCAGUUAAUGUAAUGCAAAAAAGAAUCAUGCAUGUAAACUUUCUAAAACUAUAGUAAGCACUACAGAUUAGUCACCUUUGAAGGCUUAAUGAAAGAGCAAAAUAACUCUUGCGUGUCUCAAACCGGCCCUCCUCUCUCUCUAGCCUGCCUUUUCCUCUCCUCCCCCCAGCGGGCCUCUCUCUCCAAUCCCCAACUCCCAUGAUCUCCUCGGUCCGCUUCUUGCCUGUGUUCUCUUGAUUGAUUGGUUGCCUGGCACUACAUGGCACAGAGCUGGAGGCCGCGCGACGUACGUACGUCCGCCCGGCAGGACGACUCGGCUCGGACGCAGCCAAUGCAAGCAGCACCGCACAGCGGUGCGCGGUGGCCGAUGAAUGUCGCCGUGCGUGCGUGCGUGCUCGUGUACGCGACGGCAAGGGAGCGGCGUGCGUGCGUGCGUGCAUGCAUGCAAGGACGGACCGGGCGGCGGCCGAGGCGCAACACACAGGAGCUCGCUCGCAGGCUUUGGUGCCAGUCUGCUGGCCGGCCAUCGCAGGUGUUCUGUGUUNNNNNNNNNNNNNNNNNNNNNNNNNNNNNNNNNNNNNNNNNNNNNNNNNNNNNNNNNNNNNNNNNNNNNNNNNNNNNNNNNNNNNNNNNNNNNNNNNNNNNNNNNNNNNNNNNNNNNNNNNNNNNNNNNNNNNNNNNNNNNNNNNNNNNNNNNNNNNNNNNNNNNNNNNNNNNNNNNNNNNNNNNNNNNNNNNNNNNNNNNNNNNNNNNNNNNNNNNNNNNNNNNNNNNNNNNNNNNNNNNNNNNNNNNNNNNNNNNNNNNNNNNNNNNCGUUUGCAAGUUGCAACCAAGUGUGGCCUGCCCUGCCCUGCCCUUUCGUGCGUGCGUGCCCUGCCCUUUCGUGCGUGCCUCAAAUGAAAGAUGACGACUUGCUCAAUGAAAACGGAGGCAUCCUCUACUUGGAAAGCAUUGUGGCAUAUUCGCAAAAGAAAAGAAAAAACACUCUGGCAUGCGAACACUCAAGUUUUGUCUCGGCACCCGCACAUCCCUCUAAAAAGAGUUUAUGUUAGACUGUAUUUACAUAUAGCUUCUGUAUAUGUCUUGUAUAUUGUAUCGUACACCUUGGUGUACCCCUUAUAUAUGUGAGAUAGCCACACCCUUAACGGGUGUCGUGCAGUUUCCCAAAACCUUGUGUUUAACAUGGUAUCAACCCUAACCGGUCCAAUGAAUUCCGCUGCCGCCGCCGCGACCGCAUCCACAUCCGCCGCCGCCGCCGUCGCGCCGGCUCCUGCCACGGUGCCUGCGUCGCCGUUCCUCUCUUCGCGCCCCCUCGCCUCGGUCUACUCCGGCAAGGCUUCGAUGGUGGGGGCUGCGUCCGAUCCGCCGCCGCCCCCUUCCCCGAUCGCGCCAUCGCAGGCCUGGGGCGCUUCGUACCCCGACCCGGCGGCUCCCUGGAGGGGAUCGGUGCCCUACGGGGCCCCUACUCCACCGCACGCUGGGCUCUACGGGGCUCCUUCUCCUUCGACUGCAGGGCCCUAUGGGGCCCCUUCUGCGGCUACUGCGACCAACGCAGUCGCCUCCUACGGAUCGCCGUACCCGGCUGCUGCGGCCACAACGCCCUACAUCGUUGCUGCCCCGCAGCCCUACGGCGCCGCCAACAGCGGGUCGACCCGGGCGCCGGCUGUGCCCUACGGGGCCCCUUCUCCGCCGCUGCCCUAUGGUGGAUAUUAUCCACCACCGAUGGUCGUGUCGCACCCUGGAGCUUCUGCACCGUCCUCGACGCCGGGCCUUGGUGCAUCUGCUGGAUCAUCCCACCUGGCCUACUACACGUCGCCUCCCGUGGCUGAUCAUGCCACGGCCGUUGCACCGUUCUACUUCGCGCAUCUCAUCCCGGUGAAGCUUACGACAGAUAACUAUCUGUCAUGGCGUGCACAGGUGCUGCCGCUUCUCCGCAGUCGCUACCUGGAGGGCUAUGUUGACGGUUCCCUGCCAUGUCCUCCACCGCAUCAUCCGGCGUAUCAUGCAUGGGUUGCUCAGGAUCAGGCCAUCCUCUCCGCGAUCCAGUCGUCGCUCACCGAAGGGGUGUCCUCCUUGGUUCUCUUCGCUGCCACGUCUCAGGAGGCGUGGUCUGCUCUUCACACGAGCUUCGCAUCUCAGCAGCAUGCGCGCGCUCACACUAUUCGUACGGAGCUGGGGGAGACCAAGCUCCUUGACCUCAGCAUCACCGACUACUUUGGCAAGAUGACGCGUCUCGCCGAUACCUUGGCCUCCAUUGGCCAGCCGCUUCGUAAGGAGGACUUCACCACCUUCGUCAUGAACGGACUGGAUGACGACUAUGAUAACCUUGCUGAAAAUAUCAAUGGUCGUGACACUCCGCUUGAACCUCGUGAGCUCUACGCCCGCCUCCUAGCCACGGAACAGCGCAUCAAGUCCCGUCGUGCUAACCCGAGUUUUCUUGCUGCCAAUGCUGCCACGCGUGGCAAAGGGAAGCCCUUCAAAUCACCCACCGGCGGCAAGUCAGUGCCUUCGACUCCACAGACUCAGCGGCCGCCUGCCGCCGCUGCCAUGCCUACGACCGGGGGUGGUCGGUGUGCCUGCUGCCCCUCUUGUGGUGUUCAGCUCCCCUGUCAGCUGUGCAAUAUUCCAGGUCACAUCGCCUCCCGCUGUCAUCGCCGCUUCAAGCAGGACUUCCUCGGCAUCGGCAACAAUGGCAAAGGCAACGAGAAGCAGGCUGCCUUGGCCACUCAUGAGCCUGCUCGCCAAGCAGGCCACACUCCAUCAUAUCCCAUCGACCCAACUUGGUACAUGGAUACAGGCGCUACGAAUCAUUUGACAGGCGAGAUGGGCAAACUCUCCAUGCAGGAACCGUACCGUGGACAUGAUCAGAUUCACACCGCCAAUGGAGCAGGUAUGCACAUAUCACAUGUUGGUCAGGCCUCUCUCUUAACUUGCACACAAAAAUCUCUUCAUCUCCGUAAUGUUCUUAGAGUUCCUUCCGCUACUCGUAGCUUAUUGUCUGUUCCUCAACUUACUCGUGAUAACAAUGUUUUCACUGAGUUUCAUCCUUUUCAUUUUUUUAUCAAGGAUCGGGCCACGAGGGACGUUCUGCUUAGAGGUCGCCUGCGUGAUGGACUUUAUGCACUUGAUCUACCAUCUGCUCCUCGAGCGUUCAGCGGUGUCCGUGUUUCGCCCACUCAUUGGCAUGCACGGCUUGGUCAUCCUGCAACUCCCAUAGUUCGUAGUAUUCUACAUCGCCAUAAUCUUCCCAUUGUGUCCAAUAAAAAUGCUGCCACAGUCUGUGAUGCCUGUCAGCAAGGCAAGAGUCAUCAGCUUUCGUUUUUAGAUUCGAGUCGUGUCGUUAAAACUCCACUUGAGCUUAUUUUUUCUGAUGUAUGGGGGCAUGCCCAAACUUCUGUGAGUGGUCAUAAUUAUUAUGUCAGUUUUAUUGAUGCUUAUAGUCGAUUCACAUGGCUUUACCUUAUCAAGCGUAAAUCUGAUGUGUUUGAUGUGUUUCUCCAAUUUCAAGCUCACGUUGAGCGUCUUCUCAAGCAUAAGAUUAUCCAUGUCCAGACCGAUUGGGGGGGGUGAGUAUCACAACCUCAAUUCCUUUUUUAAUAAGCUUGGAAUUUCACAUCGCGUGUCUUAUCCUCAUACACAUCAGCAGAAUGGCACGGCUGAACGUAAGCAUCGUCACAUUGUUGAAACUGGUCUCACUUUACUUGCCCAUGCAUCGGUACCCUUUAGGUUUUGGAGUGAUGCAUUUUCCACUGCCUGUUUUCUCAUAAAUAGGCUUCCCACACGACUCCUUGGAAUGAAAACACCGCUUGAACUGCUGCUUAAUGAGUCUCCAGAUUAUACCUUUCUCAAAGUUUUUGGUUGUGCUUGCUGGCCUCAUCUUCGUCCAUAUAAUAAGCGCAAGCUUGAGUUUCGAUCCAAACUUUGUGUUUUUCUUGGGUAUAGCUCUCUUCAUAAAGGGUACAAGUGUCUCCACAUUCCGUCUAAUCGUGUCUACAUCUCGCGUGAUGUUGUGUUUGAUGAGAAUGUAUUCCCGUUCUCGUCUUUCUCCAUAACUCCUGCACCUCCGGUUCCAUCUUCAUCUACCACUUCUCCCCUGCCUGCUCAAUUUGUUGAUGUUGCAUACUCUCCUGCGUUGUUGCCUAAUCAUGCUGCAGGUACAGGUCGUGGAGCUCGUCUUGAGUUACUGGAUGAACAGGAGGAGCCGUCGGGUGCACCUGGCUUGGUGCCUGGUGCCAUGCAUGCGCCAUACAUGCCUCCCGCGCGACCGGGGUCGGCAGCCCCGGCCUCACCCGCGCGACCGGAGUCGGCUGCCGCACCAGCUCUUCCCAGGCUGGACUCACCUGGGCCUCAAGGUGUCGCCCCCGACUCUCCUGGGCUGGCCUCAAAUGGGCCGGCCUCAAAUGGGCCGGCCAUGGAUGGCGUGGAGCAGCCGGUCUCCCCUGGGGCGGAGUCGCCUGGGCUGGUCUCCCCUGGGCCGGGAUCGCCUGGGCUGGUGUCGCCCGCCUCCAUGCCGUCGUUUGGCCCUGCCUCGUCACUGCCUUCGUCGCCUGAUGCCUCGCCGGUCUCUCUGGUUUCGUCACGACCGGCUGCUGCUGCUCAUAGGCCACACACGCGCAGCAGGUCUGGCAUUUUCUGUCCCAAGCAACGCAAAGAUGGGACGGUGGCGUGGCUUGCAGCAUGUGUUGCUCAUCUCAAGGAAGAUCCUUCGGCUGAACCGCGUCAUUUUCAGGCUGCCCUUGGGAUCCCUCAUUGGCGACAGGCUAUGGAACAAGAGUUUCAAGCGUUAUUGACAAAUGGUACAUGGCAACUUGUUCCUCCGGUCUCUGGUGUUAAUGUCAUUGACUCCAAGUGGGUCUUCAAAGUUAAAAGGCAUGCUGAUGGUUCUAUUGAACGCUAUAAGGCACGGUUAGUGGCGAAAGGGUUCAAACAACGGUAUGGUCUUGACUAUGAGGAUACAUAUAGUCCGGUGAUCAAACCAACGACUAUCCGACUUCUGUUAUCCUUGGCUGUUACUCGAGGCUGGUUUCUUCGUCAGCUGGACGUUCAGAAUGCUUUUUUGCAUGGAGUUCUGGAUGAGGAGGUUUACAUGCGUCAGCCACCAGGAUUUGUGGAUUCUGCUCGCCCUCAUCAUCUGUGCCGUCUGGUCAAGGCGCUCUAUGGGUUGAAGCAGGCUCCUCGUGCCUGGCAUGCCAGGUUGGGCUCUGUUCUUCGGUCCCUGGGUUUUGUUCCUUCCACUGCUGAUACGUCACUCUUUCUUCUGCAUCGGCCUGAGGUGACGAUGUAUCUGCUGGUGUAUGUUGAUGAUAUUAUUCUCAUCAGCUCAUCAGAUGCUGCUGCUGAUCGUCUCAUCUCCUCCUUGAGUGGUGAUUUUGCGGUGAAGGAUUUAGGCACGUUGCAUUACUUCCUUGGCUUGGAAGUCUCUUGCUCUCCUGCUGGUUUGACACUCACUCAACAUAAGUACUGCAUGGAUUUGCUGCGCAAGGCAGGUAUGCUACAGUGUAAACAUGCCAUGACUCCUAUGUCUGCUACUGAUCGUUUGUCUGCAUUUGAUGGAGAUCCUCUCACUUCGGAUGACUCUACUGAGUAUCGCAGUAUUGUUGGUGGUCUGCAGUAUCUGACCAUCACUCGGCCUGACAUCUCCUAUGCAGUCAAUCGUGUUUGUCAGUUUCUUCAUGCUCCUCGGACUACUCACUGGUCAGCGGUGAAGCGUAUUCUUCGUUAUAUACGCCUCACUGCAGCAUAUGGUCUGCUCCUCAGCCAUCACCGUCUCCUAUGCUUUCUGCUUUUUCAGAUGCUGACUGGGCUGGUAAUCCAGAUGACAGGCGAUCAACGGGGGGACAUGCUGUCUUCUUUGGUCCUAACUUGAUCGCCUGGGCUGCUCGCAAACAAGCUACAGUGUCCAGGAGCAGCACUGGAGCAGAAUAUAAAGCUGUUGCAAAUGCUACAGCUGAGAUCAUAUGGGUACAGUCCUUAUUGAGAGAGUUGGGAGUUCCUCAAACUCAGCCGCCUGUCCUUUGGUGUGAUAACAUUGGAGCUACAUAUCUCUCAUCUAAUCCAGUGUUUCAUGCUCGGACAAAGCACAUAGAAGUUGACUAUCAUUUUGUACGGGAACGUGUUGCACAGAAGCUACUCCACAUCAAGUUCAUCUCCUCCAAAGAUCAACUUGCUGACAUCUUCACGAAGCCUCUUCCACAACCUCAGUUUGUAGGCUGCAGGCGCAAUCUUAACAUACUUUGUACUUCAGGGCAUAGUUAAGAUUGAGGGAGGGUGUUAGACUGUAUUUACAUAUAGCUUCUGUAUAUGUCUUGUAUAUUGUAUCGUACACCUUGGUGUACCCCUUAUAUAUAUGAGAUAGCCACACCCUUAACGGGUGUCGUGCAGUUUCCCAAAACCUUGUGUUUAACAGUUUACACAUUUCGGUGCAGAUUAAAGGUGAAGAUUAUAAGUUGCCCCUUCAAAAAAAAAAGAUUGUUCUAAUAUCUUAUUUCGGUCCGUUGGGAGAACCAGGAUCAACUAGAAGGGAUCGUUGGUGCUAUAAUCCUUGAUCAUAACGGGAAGUUUAUAGCGGCAACCAAUGAGAAGAUGAGUUUCUAUUUCGAUGCUUUCACCGCAAAGGCAACAACGGUUAGAUUUCGGCUAAACUUGACUAGAACAGUCGGACGAAACAAGCUAGAGUUGGAAUCUGAUAAUGCCAAGCUGGUUUCGGCCUUUCAAGCGGUGAUGGGACCUAUUUUUUUUCGAAACGGAGGCAAAAGUUUUGCCUCGUCUAUUAAUUAAGAAAAAGUGAGUCGGCUGGUUAAUUAACAUGAAGCCAGGCUAAAGCCAUCACAACCGUUGAGCGGCACACACAAGAUACCCCACACAUGCCACUCCAAAGGGUGCCUCAUCGAGACAGCACACGCGCAUCAUCGUCAUCAUUCCUCCCCUAGAGGCGUCAUCGUCAACCCUAAACCCUGAGCAAACGAAUCCAAUUUGCUGUAGGCGAUCGUCGACUCAACCCACACUGUAGAGGGCGAGUGAAGUUCUAUGAAGAUCCGCGCCAAACUCAGUCACCUACGAUCAAACAAACGUAGCUCCGACUCUGACGGAGAACAACGAAUGGCAAAACCAAGCACGACUACCCCCACGGAAGAUCACCCAAUGGUCCACCUGCACCAUUCAUCAUAUACCAUAGGGCCCCGCCGCCGCAGCUUCAACUUUAC